rnacentral:rRNA from 1 species
UCCAGACUCCUACGGGAGGCAGCAGUGGGGAAUAUUGCACAAUGGGGGGAACCCUGAUGCAGCGACGCCGCGUGAGUGAAGAAGUAUUUCGGUAUGUAAAGCUCUAUCAGCAGGGACGAAGAUGACGGUACCUGCAGAAGAAGCCCCGGCUAACUACGUGCCAGCAGCCGCGGUAAUACGUAGGGGGCAAGCGUUAUCCGGAUUUACUGGGUGUAAAGGGGGCGCAGACGGCGAUGCAAGCCAGGAGUGAAAGCCUGGGGCCCAACCCCGGGACUGCUCUUGGAACUGCGUGGCUGGAGUGCAGGAGGGGCAGGCGGAAUUCCUGGUGUAGCGGUGAAAUGCGUAGAUAUCAGGAGGAACACCGGUGGCGAAGGCGGCCUGCUGGACUGCAACUGACGUUGAGGCCCGAAAGCGUGGGGAGCAAACAGGAUUAGAUACCCCCGUA